AGAAUCAACGCUGGCGGCGUGCCUAACACAUGCAAGUCGAUCGAGAAAGUGGAGCAAUCCAUGAGUAAAGAGGCGCACGGGUGAGUAACACGUGACUAACCUACCCUCGAGUGGGGAAUAACCUGGGGAAACCCGGGCUAAUACCGCAUAAUACCCACGGGUCAAAGGAGCAAUUCGCUUGAGGAGGGGGUCGCGGCAGAUUAGUUAGUUGGCGGGGUAAUGGCCCACCAAGACGAUGAUCUGUA
rnacentral:rRNA from 1 species